rnacentral:rRNA from 1 species
ACUCAUAGCCAUGCUACCCUGAACAAGCCUGAUUCUGUCUGAUCUCAGAAACUAAGCAGGGUCAGGCCUGGUUAGUACUUGGAUGGGAGACCACCUAGGAAGACCAGGUACUGUAGGCA